rnacentral:misc_RNA from 1 species
UUUCCGUAGGUGAACCUGCGGAAGGAUCAUUACUGAGUGAGGGCCCCUCGGGGUCCAACCUCCCACCCGUGUUUAACGAACCUUGUUGCUUCGGCGGGCCCGCCUCACGGCCGCCGGGGGGCAUCUGCCCCCGGGCCCGCGCCCGCCGAAGCCACCUGUGAACGCUGUCUGAAGUAUGCAGUCUGAGACAAUUAUUAAAUUAAUUAAAACUUUCAACAACGGAUCUCUUGGCUCCG